AUGAUGUGUCACUCAGCUCAUCUCAGCUCAGUUUACAUCUCAGCCCUCCAGCUUCAGACUCCAGAAAUAUCACAUUCAGUCAACAGCAGCUCAUGUCAAGCAGCCUAUUCAAACACAGAGUAUAAUCUCGGCAGACGGUAACGAGGGUCUACGGAUAGAAAACUGCAUACAUGACUUCUCAUCUGACACCUGGAGCGGGACGAGGGUGAUACAGGACAGAAAAAUACAGUCGACAUGAAUAAAACAGACAUAGAAACACACUUUUAACUAAAGGAUCUCGUCUGACCUGAAGAAGAGACGCAGUGACCUCAUGUGGCCCAGGUCAACUCCACAUAAUAGCUCUAAUGCCAUGACCUUCUGAUGCUCCUCCCACCAAACUCCCUAUGAUUGGUUGCUUUCGGAGGGGGCGUGGCUAUUCAGACUGGAGGCGGAGCUCGUAGAGUGAGCCAUGGGCUCACUGGAUUUAAUGGCAUAUAUAUUAAUAUUAAAGUAAUUAAAAGGAGAAAAGUGAUAAAACACUAAUUAUGAUGCAUGAACACUAAUUGAAAGUUUCAUUUUCUUUUUCUGUAAAGCUGCUAUAAAACAAUGUGUUUUAAAUGUUUCUACAUUACAGUUAGGAGUGUUUAUCCAAGUUCUGUCCACAUGGCAGAAAUGUACAGUUCAUAGAAAUGUACAGAUUAUACAAAUCAUGCAGUUAGUUAAUGUCACGCUUUCAUUCAAUUUCAUGCUUUCAGAAACAGUGAACAUAUUAAAGCAAUGAUUACAUGAUGUUGUCAUGAUGAUUAGAAAAAGGAAAUUUGUCAAAAGCACUAUAUUGACAAAGUGGAAGCCAAAAUUGUAACAUUAUUUUUGCAAUUACAUUCAAUAAUGUCAAUCAGUAAUGCAGAAAAAAAUGCCACUUGCCACAACCCACUUAACUCUCACAAUGCAAUG